rnacentral:lncRNA from 1 species
CAGAAUCCAGCUAACGCUCCAGGGAAGUGGCCUGAGUCAGGGAAGCUAAGUGGUGAAGAGCACAGGCUGGUAGUCCUGCGAUUGAAGCCAGAAUGACCAGCUGUGUAACCAAAGGCAAGGUGCUGAACCUUUCUCUGCCUCAAUUCUCUCAUCUGCAAAAUGGGAAAUAAUAAUGAUCCCAACCUCAGAGAACUGAACAAGAUAAUACAUGAAGGUGCAUAUCAAAGAGUCUCACAUGCUCUGCUGGAUCACACAAAAGUUGGGAAGAGAAGGAUGUCAAUUAGACUACAUCAAAAUCUGGGCAGAGGGAGGACAAAGAGCUGCCUAAAGAAACUGGUAGCUGGAGCAAACUGCAGAGAUCAAGAUGACCCUAGUCAACGGAACCAGCAGCCCAGGUCAGCCACAUUCAGGAGCACCACCGAGGCACGGCAGGGAGAGCAAAGUUGCUGGCCCCAAUCAUUCCUCCUUUUCAGGGCAGGAGAGGCAGAAGCUCACUCUUUAGACAUGUUCUUGAUGGUCUUGUGCUCUUUCAUGGCCUUCUCCCAAUCGCUGCCAUUGAAUUCCUCAGUGACCAUACUCCGCACAGUGCCCUCAUCCAGGCAGUGGGGGGCAAUUCCUACGAGAAAGUGGCACAGACAAAGGGGGAUCCUCAGUAUGGGUGAGACCAGAUGGUGUACCGGCUCCUGGAUAAGCCCCCACCUGCAGGCAUCAUCACGCU